AUGAGUGGUCCCUUCUGGAUUUCUACAGGGACCUCCAAGCCUGCUCCUCCUCCACCUCAAACAUCAGCAAAGCCCACCAGGAGAAUUGCCAAAAGAGACAAUCGUCAGUUCCUCAGUGAGAAUGUUUCCCUGCUUCUGCCUUGGAUAACUCCAGAAUUUUCGAGACAAAGGUUUAUUCCAUCAUCCAAGACAUAUUUUAUGCCACGCAGUUUCACUUUGUAGGACUAACUUUUCAAGUCAAGGAAUUGCAAAGCCUCAAUAUGUAGCAGCUUGGAUUAUGGUCCAAAAAGGGAGCCAGUAGAGCUCCAAAAUUACUAUUUCUUCCUUUUCUUUGUCUUUUCUUUUGGGGUGGGCAUCGGGAUGCUGUGACCCAACUGGGAAUACUGUCUCUGGCACAUGCCUGUGGUCCACUCAAUAUUAAUGAUGCAAUCAAGUCUUCAGGUGAAUUUUGGAGCUAAAGCAAAAGACAAAAAGAAAAUUUCGUAAACCACCCUCAGAAUCUGUUAGCUGAAGCUCCACACACUUUAGGCCUUAACCAGCUAGUCCCUUAGAUCGCUGGCGACCCCAAGUGGCCAAUUUAAUAACAGUUUUUUGGAUUUUGUUGGGUUUUGGUAUUUUUCCCCCUGUGGAAAAGAAACAUACUUCAAGGUUUUUUAUUCCCAAAUCCUUGUAGAAUUUAAAAACUGCAGAGCUGGAAGGACAAUUAGUGUUACCUGGCCUAACCAUCUCAUUUUACAGAAAGCACAGAUCCAGAGAGGUAAAGAGAGAUUCCAAAAGUCACACAGCAUGUUAGGGUCAAGGAAGGAAGCAUUUAAAAGUGAUGACUUUAAGAGAGUCUAUGCAACCAGAUUUUAGCUCCUUAAUGGAAAAAGAGAAUUUUUCCCCAAGCCAUAGAAGAAAUAUUGUUAUUACAGAAGAAUCACCGUAAUGAGGCUGCAUUGUUAACAGAUCUGAAGUUUCCUUAGGCACACACUUCUUUUUUCUUCUUCUAUUCCUAGACUGACCAGGGUGUAUUAAAUUAAAUCACACAGCAAGUGUGAGGC
rnacentral:lncRNA from 1 species